rnacentral:lncRNA from 1 species
GCAGGGAUAUGAUAUUGAAGCACGUGACAAGUUGGUGAUUUCAGCAGUGGUUUCUCCUGUCUAUAGAAACUCUUCAGCAGAUGGCAAUUUUCCACCUUCCUGUAUAAAACCAGAAUCCUCUCACCUGGCAGAAAUCUUUCUCUCCAGAUGCUGCAAAGCCAGCACAGAUCAUCUUCUCUGUGAUCCCUCCUGGAUGGGCAGAAUAAAAGAAGAGGGGCUGAAGCGGAUGCUGCUUGAUAUCAUUUACAUGACUUAUUUUCAAAAAUAACAACUGGCAUUAAUGUUUAUGCAACAAAAAUAUGCUUACCUGCACUGAUGCUUCCCCAUCCGGUCACAGCACAGAUCUCCGAGGAAAAUAGAGGCUCUGUGCUGUGUGGGAGACAUACUGGCCUCACCGCCGAGUUGUACUCCAGAGGAGAGCUUAGUUGUAUUAGGGCAAUGUCAGAGUCAUAACUUAGUGUGUUAAAGUCUUCAUGCACUAUUAUGUGUUUGGCCCUUCUCACCUGUAUCGGUGGCAAGUAAGCAAAUUACAACGUAAGAAAGUCAAAGAAUCCAGCUACUUCCUUGUUGAUGGUCCAAAAUAAUCCUAAAUUUCUGCACUUACAUACAUAAACAAUGCAGAAGACUUUCUAUUAAAUUUAAAAGAGCAAUAUUGGUUUACAAUUUGCAGGGGGCUAUGAACCACCUUC